GCCUCUGUAGCUCAGUUGGUUAGAGCACCGCACCGGAAUCGCAGGGCCGUAGGUUCAAUUCCUACCAGAGGAC